GACGAACGCUGGCGGCGUGCCUAAUACAUGCAAGUUGAGCGAUGAAGAUUGGUGCUUGCACCCAUUUGAAGAGCAGCGAACGGGUGAGUAACGCGUGGGGAAUCUGCCUUUGAGCGGGGGACAACAUUUGGAAACGAAUGCUAAUACCGCAUAACAACUUUAAACAUAAGUUUUAAGUUUGAAAGAUGCAAUUGCAUCACUCAAAGAUGAUCCCGCGUUGUAUUAGCUAGUUGGUGAGGUAAAGGCUCACCAAGGCGAUGAUACAUAGCCGACCUGAGAGGGUGAGCGGCCACAUUGGGACUGGGAAACGGCCCAAACUCCUACGGGAGGCAGCAGUAGGGAAUCUUCGGCAAUGGACGAAAGUCUGACCGAGCAACGCCGCGUGAGUGAAGAAGGUUUUCGGAUCGUAAAACUCUGUUGGUAGAGAAGAACGUUGGUGAGAGUGGAAAGCUCAUCAAGUGACGGUAACUACCCAGAAAGGGACGGCUAACUACGUG
rnacentral:rRNA from 1 species